AUCCUAGCUCCGCCACUGAACCCCGGUAUGGCGACGCGGCGCGCCCGCGAACAGCAACCGCCAUCAUCGCCGCCGUCGCUGGCUCCUGGCGUUCGAUGACCGCAGCUACGGCGAGGAGGUGCUCCAGGGGCCUCUGUUAAAUUGAUAGAACAAAAUAUCCAUACGGCUGAAAAUACAAAGCAAGGGAAGGAUCUGUAUGUGAGAAGGGGCAAGGUGGAUCCAACCAUUAUUAUUUUUGGAAUAACAUGGCACAGUAUCCAAACUGGAAAUACAAAGGCACUGAUUCGAUUUACUUCCCCACAAGUUAAAGGAGAAGAAGGGGCUGUGGUCUGUAUCUAUGACCAAAACCUCGCUGGGUGGCCACUUCUUGAUCAUGGAAUCUUGCUGCUGAGGGUCCAGCAUGUGGUCACGCUCCGUCUUUAUGAAAACCCGUUUUACUCGAUUCAAUCUCUCGUCAUCUCCUUCGAAGCUUGCAGUACCAAUAGCACUCACAGGCCAUGGUCGCAUCAGCAUUGAAGUCAGUAUUGAGUCCUGAACAAGAUAAAUACAUGUAUGUGUAAGAAAAACCCGCAUCGUUAUUUGCCUCUUAAAUGGAUUAUGACUCAUAGUUGUUCAGGAAUCAGGAAUGAUAGCAAUAUAUUUUCAUGGAAUAUCGAAAUUUAUGGCAACAGAAUCUGUACAACUUAAUGAAGUUGUGGAUGUGAUGAGCACAUUGGCUCAUGCAGUA